rnacentral:rRNA from 1 species
GACGAACGCUGGCGGCGUGCCUAAUACAUGCAAGUCGAACGCAGUGGGGACGGGUGAGUAACACGUGGGUAACCUCCCAUCAGAGGGGAUAACACUUGGCAACAGGUGCUAAACCGAUACUGUUGGAUGCACCCGCGGUGCAUUAGCUAGUUGGUGAGGUAACGGCUCACCAAGGCCACGAUUCAUAGCCGGCCUGAGAGGGUGAUCGGCCACACUGGAACUGAGACACGGCCCAGACUCCUACGGGAGGCAGCAGUAGGGAAGCUUCGGAAAUGGACGAAAGUCUGACCGAGCAACGCCGCGUGAGUGAAGAAGGUCUUCGGGUCGUAAAGCUCUGUUGUUAGAGAAGCGGUAUCUAACCAAAAAGCCACGGCUAACUACGUGCCAGCAGCCGCGGUAAUUC